rnacentral:snRNA from 1 species
AAAACUUUUUUCGAAAGAAAAAAAAAAAUCUGUUCUUAUCAGUUUAAUAUCUGAUACGUCCCCUACCCGGGGACUACAUAUUAAAUUGAUUUUUGGAUCACGGAGCUGGAGCCGGGGCUUGCUCUGUCCACUCCACGCAUCGGCCUGGUAUUGCAGUGUCUCCAGGAACGGUGUGCUUCCC